rnacentral:rRNA from 1 species
CAGCAGCCGCGGUAAUACAGAGGGUGCGAGCGUUAAUCGGAUUUACUGGGCGUAAAGCGUGCGUAGGCGGCUUCUUAAGUCGGAUGUGAAAUCCCUGAGCUUAACUUAGGAAUUGCAUUCGAUACUGGGAAGCUAGAGUAUGGGAGAGGAUGGUAGAAUUCCAGGUGUAGCGGUGAAAUGCGUAGAGAUCUGGAGGAAUACCGAUGGCGAAGGCAGCCAUCUGGCCUAAUACUGACGCUGAGGUACGAAAGCAUGGGGAGAAAACAGGAUUAGAUACCCGAGUAGUCCCUGUCUCUUAUAC